ensembl:lncRNA
AAAGCCCUUUCUCUUACCCAUAAAUAGAGAUGAUUCCAAACCAAAGCCCUAGCUUCAAGCUAGCUGCAGACCUUGGGGAGUUCAAAAUCAGAAUCUGGAUUUGGAUCUGAAUUUAGCAGCUUAGGCCCAUCUGCAAUAAAUACAUACAGGAUGAAAUGUAGAUAACUGAGAUAUAAGGCUAUAUAGACUUCAAAGUGGCUCUGAUAAAAUCACGAUAACCACAAGAAAGAAGUGGUGUGUGAUCUCAGAAGAGAUAUCCCCAAGAUGUCUAUACAGCUUAAUUUUCCCACAUUGUGUCCUUUUAUCUUCAAUGGAUAAAAGGUGAAUUAUUAUUAUUAUAGGCAGUGGAGCAGUAACGCCUGUUAUUCAGGUUGUCUAACACUUUCCAUUGUUCCCCCUCUAGUCACUCGCUUACAACUUUUGCAGACUUUAACCUUUAGAGACGAAGUUUCCCAUACCCUGUGCUUGCCUCAGGUUGAAUUUGAUCAAGAAGAGGUAUUCCACCUUCAAGACUGUAGCAAUAGUGCCGGCAAUAAAUCAUGUCAACAUUUGCUUCUGCAUUUGUAAACUGUCAUUGUAAGGUAGCUGGAGAGAGGACAGGAGGGCGAGCAAACAGACAGCUCUAAAAGCCUGUGCUGUCAUCCUUACCUUAUCUACAGAGCGAUCAUGUUAAAUCUCAAAUGACAGAGAGUCAGACAGCAGGUGGGCGGGCGAUGGAGAAGAAAAUGGCAUUUCUCACGUGAUGGUACCUGUGCUCUCCUUCUCACUGGAGCAGCCUGAAUACAGCAAUCCACCUGCCUUAAUGUCUGCAGGACUCAGUUUUCACAUGGCAAUGGAAAAAAAAAAAGAAAAGGGGCCAAAGUAUGUGAAAUCUGCUCACCCUGAGAGCUGUCCCACAUUCCCCACCCAAUCAGCAGAUAGGAGCUCUGCUCGGCGAACCUGCCAUGGUAGCUGAUAAUUAUUGUUGUAUUAAUUGGUGCUGUCCAGACUAGACAGAAUGUAAAAGAUCCCACUGUGUCCAAUAAUUAAUGUUUUUCCCUCACUGCAAUGUCAUUAAUAAGGGGUUCCUCCAAGAAACGAGUAAUUGGAUGGUUCAGCUUCAUUAGGGUAUUUUUAGAUAAGGUUUGGUCUAGAGACGUAAAGGAAAGCUUAUUAUGUUUAUUUAGACUGUAUUAUCUGCUGCUAAUGUGUUAUACUGAUUUUGUAUCUUCCGCAUUCUCUGGGAUUGUAGUGAUAAAAAGGAAUGCGCAAAUCACAAUUUAAAUGAACAGAAAUAAAAUUCAGUAUAAUACAGUGAUGAAAAAAUGCCAUCUCAAAAUAAAUAUCAUCAGUAUCCUAUAAAUCUCCCCUUUUCUCGGAGGCGCAACGCUAUUGUCACAGGAAGACAAAAGUCAGAUUUUACUAAUUAGAGAUGAGUGUAGCGCAGCGCUCUUGUUUUGGCAAUUAUCUGAGCAGCUUUGGAAAAUGGAAUGUGUAAAUCUAGUUUUGGAAAUAACUUUGAAAAGAAGACUAAGGGGCUUUUUCAGGGGUAUCACUUACACAGUCAUGUAUGACUUUAUUAUUCUGCAAAGAUGCCUUGGGAAUCUGACUCACAUGAAAACUUGAUAUGCAAGAGAGCUAUAGACCAGGAUGUGGCGGAUUUACACAGGAAACAUAUAUGGCUAGUCAAAACAGCUCUGUUUUACCACAAAGGAGCUUUGCACAUGCUUUGCGAGGAUUUUAUGUGGGAGUUUAUUCUUGAACACAGCAUAUAGCCAGUUUUUCACAACCCAAACUUACUCUAGUUAAAUUUUUAAGGCAACUUAGCCAAACUGGUCCCAUUCACAGCUGCAUCCUCUUAAUCUCAUCACAAGACAGAGAUCUCCCACUAGGAAAUGAUAAUCCACAGUUUAGUGUCUGUAUUAUACUUACUGCAAACACAAGAGACUACAUUCAUCCCAAGUAAUUCUCUAAAUGUGAGAGAUCUUGUUACAACAGGAAUGCACUUGGCCCACUGGGUGUCAGACAGUGACAUAGGCUCAUCACACCGUGCUAAAUAAAAGUGAAGGAAAACAUCACUGGGGAUGGUAGUCCAAGAGCUGGGUGAUGUCAGUUGAUCCUCAUUAAGUUAUUGUGUCAGUCAGUGUUUUCAGUAGGUUCUUGCUGGAGAAGGGACACUCAGCCAAAACCUGAUGUCGAAUAGUUAUAAAUCUAGAGACAAGAGUUUGCCUCCUCCCUCCACCUCUCCCAACUGUUUCUCCGCCAUGAAUCCUGCACUCUGACAGCUCUGUAUGAACUGUUCGCAUCAGUACUAAUUUAAAACCAAGAAUUCCUACAAACAAUAUUCAGGGCACGUCCAGACAAACAUCCAGAACUGCCACGCUAAGUUCAUCUCACGUAACAGUUAAUACAGCUCCCGCAAAGUCACCACAUCAUAAUAUCCUUUUGUAAUAGGUUGUGAUUUUAAGUAACAUAUCUCAUUAAUAUAAAUGAUCCAAAAUAGACACACAGAAUUUUGCUGCCUGUUCAUUUCCCAUCCCAAUGCCUCUGGACCCCUAUCUACUCUAGGUUAGCGCGGAGUAAAUCACACAUAAUUCUGCUGAAGUCGGGGGUGUUACACUGGCAUAAGUCAGAGUACAAUAAAGUCCUCAGUGUCCCGGGUUCCUCAGUAAGAUUCACAAAAGUAAAUUCCAUUAGUAUGUGUAGAAAUAUGUCUUUCUCAUAAUGAUAUGACUAAAAACUUUUGUACUUCAGAGCAGAAGUACAGAGACCCCUUGAAAGCCAGAUAUUGAUAGCUUGCUUUAUGUUUAAAGAUGUCAACAGAAUACAAUGGUUCUCAGCAUCCACAUUAGUUAUCUUUAGUAAGAGAGAAGAAGAUUUAAAGUAAGGGAAUGAGGUUUGCAAUGUAACAAGAUAAAGUCAUCUCCUGCAGCCUAGAGGAUUUCUUUAAUCUUAUUUUUAGAGAAGAGCUGAGAAGCUUUUGCAAAACCGGCUUGUUUGGAUUCAGUUUCUAUUUUAUCUCAUCCACAAAAGUUUGGAGCUGAAGGGGGAAACAGAUAAAAGUUUUGAGCAAACUGGGAUGGUUUUACAUUGGUCUCAUCAACCUUCCUAAUCUAGGUUUGAUUUUGCAAAACCUGUCUGAAUCCAGAUCUCUUCUUAUCCAGCCUACAAAACACACACACACACAAACAAAAUCUUAGGAAAGUUUCAAAUCAAGAAAUAUUUUUUUAAAAGUCACAUUUUCUCCUAGCUUGAAUUUAGAUAACUGUUAACUAACUUUUUUUCCACUGACAGAACUCUAUACCUACAACAAGAAUUUGAUUUUCAUAAGUAGAUGUAUUUCCUCUGGAUGAUUUAAAAUUGACAUUUUUCCUGAAAUCAAUUUUGCCUGAGGAAUAUUUCAGCGCUAGACAGGGCUUUCUUUUCUUUUACAGGAUUUUUUUAAAUUAUUGAAAUAGUAUCCAAUCUGAAUAUUUGAAUGCACGCAAGAGAGAACAUUUUCAAGAUUCGGGAGCACAGCUGCAUCUUUCUUUUCAGGUUCAUGACCUGGAUAGGCACAUUAAGUCCAUAGAAAUGACAUAAAACACAAUCAGGAUACAUUCUUUCGAAUCUGUGUUUUCCUCUCAGGAUUUAUUACUGAAGACCUUUACUACAAACAUCUUUAUGCAUUCAGGAGUAAGUUAUCUGCUUCAAAAUAUGUGAUAGUCCUAUAAGUAGAAUAAAAAUGAUAUCUUCAGAUAUUUCUUUUUUUCAAAUCUGCCAAUUCUUUGUUGCCACUGUUGCGUUUUCCUGUGGUCUGCCUGCUUGAAGCUAGGGUAAGGAACAGGAUUCCAAGCUCCUAGAGCAGUCAGAGGACCCCCAACCCUCUACGUUUCUCACCAACCACCUCAGCAGUCACACAAAACACAGUUCAUAUAUUUUGUUAAAAUCAUUCGCUGUAGUCUAUGGGCUGGACCAGAGUUUAGAUUAAAAGAAAAUCUAAUUUUCCUUGUGUGCCCCCUCCUCCUCUUCAUGUUAAAAAUAGGUAAAGCAACACUCGUAUUUCUUGGAUUAUUUUGCAGCAUUUGAUUCAUCCAACAUUGCCAAAUAUUUUUGUCCUCUUUCCAAAGUGCUUCUGGGGAUAAACAUUAAAGUUCUGAAGGACCUCAGGCCUUUUCCUAAAGACUGAGCAUUCCUAGCAUUUGUCCCUACAUCUCUUAAGUUCCUGCAGGCAAAUAUUUACAAGCUCUGCCCUUUGCCUGAUAUUGCUUAACAUGGAGGGUGCUGGAAGAACAAGAAAGACAAAGUGGUUAGAAAUGUCAGGAGUGAGAUUAUACAAAUUUGUACAUCUCCUUGCUAACAAACACAGAAUCUUACACAUUUGUCGAUGCCUAGCUGCAGUGAACGUGUGGGUUUGCAUCUGCUGGAACCCAAGGUGAGAUGAGGAUGUGCUUGGUAACGCUUGUUCCUUUUGCAGUCAAGGGACCUGGUAUUUCAACUGCAAAGUCAUUCUUGGCCUACUUUCAGUGUAGUUGCAUAGAUGCACAUUUGUAUCUUGUAUGGCUUGCAGAUCCAAACAUAGCCAUGAUGACCAAAAUCAACUGUCCCUGUCUGCCCCAGGCCCAAAGGGCGUGAUCCACACUGCUAGGGCUGGACAUAGCCAUGGUGAUUCAGAAGCUGAUGAGCUCUAGCUAAGUUUACUAUAAUUUGUAAAGAUGAAUAAAGCCACAGAUGUGAUUAAGCUUAACAGGACAGGCCAGCUUUCAACACCAGAUGCACACAGCAAUCUAAUUUAAGGUUCUGUCUUGCUGUUCAGAAUUGCCUUUUGUUCCUCAGGAAGCCAGUAGAUACCAUGAUAACCGACCUAGCAGAAAGUAGCAGUGGAGAAAAAUCUAAAAGCCAAUAAAACAAUUAAGAGGAUUCUCACACAAAGGAUUACCUGUGUAAACAGAUCCUUCUUUUCUCUUUGCUAUGUCAAGCUGCUGCGUUACCAUGAGAAAAAGGAAUUUGGUUAUCAAUGGAAUAUGUGAUUGCAUUUAGUUGAUGUUGUUGUUGCAGCUUAAACUGAAACUGGGUGAGACAAUCCUUCCAUGGCUAUCAUGCAACCAGACUGACUACUUUGAAAAUUCACUCAAAACAAAAUCCUUGGUGCCUUGGGCAAUCUGGACAGCAACACCACCGGUUAGGAGAAAAAAAAAAAGAAAUUUCGGAGGGAACAUCUCCUUGUGCUCACUGCCAGCCCUUGAAUUACUGGGAAGGCAUUCCUAGAAAAAGGGCCUCCAGUCAAGGCAGUGAAUGACAGCACUGCCUCCAGAAAAAUCAAUUCUGUGUGGUGAAAGCCCAGAGCCUCUGUUCUGGAGGCCUUCCUUCUUUGAAGCCGAAAAAUCAAAUGAAGCUUCAAAACUUCAUCUCAGCUCUAAAUUGUCAUAAAUCUUAUUUAUGCUAUGAAAGGAAACAAAAUGUACUGAAUGGGUAAUCAGUGUGCUGAUGUGCCCUGAAAAUCCUGCCUCUCUGAGUACAAGGAAAAUCCCUUCCCUAUCUCCAGAAGGGUUUUGGUUUCUUGCUUUUUUUCAUUGCUCAAGGUGCCCCCAGUUCUGCAAAAAAGAGUAUCACAUGCUGCCACUUGUGGAAUCAUUUUCAUGAAAACAUGAAUUGAUUGGAAAAUGAGCCCACUUUAUUUCAAGGGGACAGGCAACACCAGCAGGAAAAAGAAAAGAGGGAUAAAAAACACACAUUACAAAUACAAUAAAUGAUACACACGCAACACACACAAAAAGGAAAUUGGAGAAUCUGACUCUCCUUGAAAUGUAAACUGUGUACAGAUUUACUCUGAGAAAUGAACAGAUGUUUUUGAGAUUAGUGGAAACUACUGUACAAAACCUCUGCUGGGUGCCUAAUAUUUUAGAUUCCAUAGCCCAAGAUUUCUUAUAGCCAACAUUUCAGAGCUCUCCCCUUUCUAGCGGACCACGAAGCUGUCCAAAAGAUGUGUAAUUUCUGCUCCUCUCCAGUUCCUGAUUUUAUAAUUAGCUCUCAGCAUUACCAGAGAUCACCCAUUAGCGCAAGACCCAGCAAUGUGUCGCAUCCUCCUGCAAUGCUGCAUAAUGUUAUUGUUGGCAGCCCUGGAAGAUGGACAAUCAAUGAGAUGAAUAGUGCACGUCUUUCCUUCGCAAACUACGCACAGUUGAUGUCUUCAUGAAAUAUCAAACAUGGUUGCAGCUAAUGCAUGGAGGUAGACUGAUUUUUUAUGUUACCCACAGUGGAUAAAUAAACUGUAGAAGGGUACAUGCCAUAUUGUACCUUGUCUCCUUCCUUGUGAACAGCAGCAGGCUGGAAGCCACAGCCUUCAACACUUUACUAUUAAAGAGGGCUUAUUGUACAUUUUACCCAUUUCAUGUAAGUCCAAUGCCUGAGAGAGGCUCUUCAGGAUAGAUUUUACAUCUGCUGCUCAAUUCUCAAGUGCCCACUCAGGAGUAUGGAAGUACUUGGGGAAUUUUGAGUUUUAAAGGAGAUAUUUUCAAAUAGAGGGUUAUUAUAGUACCUUUUAACUACGAUCUCCAUGUGAAAAGGUUUCAAUUAGUAAAAUAUAUGUUAGAUUGGUGUGCCAAGGGACUUGGGAGAUAGCUUGUUGGGAUGCCUGCACCUUUGCAUUUAUUCAGUACCCUAUGAUACAGCAUAAGUAAUGCUUCUAUAUUAUUAUUAUAUAAUACUUCUAUAUUCCUAUUUCUAGCCUCAUGGGUUCAACCAGACUGCAUACAUUAGGGAAAUACUAUGUUUUGGCAUACUGGGAGAGUUUCCAUGCUACUGGCUUCUGCUUCUGACAAUAGAGAUUUGUACAUCGAUGCUGUGCUCGCCAGCUGGUCCGUGGGAUUUGCGUUACGCUAUUUGUUUGGAUGUAUGUGUUCCUGUAAAGAGAUGAUGUCGCGUUUUUCAGCCGGCACAGGAGGUACCCAAAGUUCUCAGCGUUUGACUUGUGCACGAAUUUCAGAUUCAGGCAAUAAGAGUGAAAUUGGUAUUAAAAAAACUCGGACGGCACAGGCUUCGUGGUUUUUGUUUUCCACCACAUUGCAGUGCAGCGGGGCAGUUGGUGCAGGGAAUGCACCAUGGACCCAACACUUUGCCCACCCAAACCAUCAGCAAAAUGCCCAUAUCGCUCAGUGGGAGGAGGUUAGGUCUUAUCUCUGUUGUAAGAGUAUUUCAUUGCAAAGGCAAAUGCUUCUAAAAUACCGCACAUAGCACUCUUCUCUAUGUGAGCUGGUUAACAUGUGGUCAGCAUUGUUAAAGGUGAGAGAUUACAAACAGUGCAUUAAUUCGCAGCGCACCUUGUUUGCAUGAUAACAGCAAGAUGUAAUGCGCGUAAUGAUAAGCAAAGCUAUUAUGUGCAGAUAGAUAAAGAAUAUAACACAUUCCUUGCUCUUUCCACAGUACAUGGCUACAAAAACCCCAGUGCAACAGUAUUUCUCAUUUUUCAUAUUUUCCAGCACAUUUCGGUUCCUUCUGCUUUUCUUCCCAUGUAGGGCUCCUCGGGACCGCCGUGUCCCUGGAUUUGCAUUUUAUUGCAUGAGCUAAUUGCACGUGUUUUUAAACACAUGUUCUCUUGCUGAUGUCAUUCAUUUAGACUGUAGCAUUUCUGACAUUUUUAGGUAGUCCCCCAGGCCUCGUAGCCCUCUUAGCAGGGUCCUUUCAGUGAGGGGUGUUUGCUUUAUGAUUACUGACUGACAUCUCAAUAACGUGGAACAUAUUGAGCAGUGCAUGUCUAUCGAGCAGCCUUUUUAAAUGCACGGUCCACUUUGUCAAGUCAUGUGCGAGCCAUAAUUUAGGCUAAUAAUUACCAGACAUGAAUGCUAUGAAACAUUGAUGUCUACACUUUUUCCCCCUCUAAGUACUGAAUUUUAAUACAUUCAGAAAAGGUUUUCCAAAGGCCAAGAUAAGCCCCCUAAAAAGCUCAUAUGGAAGCACUUUAAAAGUGAUAAAUGAUUUGGAAUCUACACUGUCUACUGAUGUACGUCUCAGGAAAGAAAAUUAGAGCUAACAGGUGUUAGAUAGGGAAUGGUGAAGCAUUUUAAUAGAAUUGUCAAAAUGUUGGUCCCAGAUGCUGACAUUAAUGCAUGCAACGAGGAAUGUAAUGCCGCACCACCAUUAAAUGAUUAUUUGUUUAAAUUUUGAGUCGAUGGCAGGAAAUCCUAACUUUGUCCACUACUUCUCUGUACAGGCCAUCCCUCCUGUGCUUUCCUCUAUGAUUUGCAUCAAAGUGUAAUGGUUAUAUGGCUCACAUCUGCAUGCUUUAAAUAACCCAUGCCUGUCAAAUUUCAUUUUUUCCUCUCAGAUCAGAACCUUCAUAACCCCUUCUCCGCCAGCCUUGAAGUCGGUACAAAUCUAUCUGUACAUUUGGGGGAAAAUAAUUUAAAUGCUGCGAGUUACGGGGUAAUUAAUCUUUGAACUAUUUUCCAACUUCAAAUGUAUUUACUAAGCAAUCUGCAUGAACCUGUGAUUACUGCGUAUUUGUGAGGUAUUUUCCAUGUAAUCACAAAGCAGUUACACGGUCAUAGGAAUCUUGUAAAUUAUAACGAUAGCGGGGGAAGCGGCGGGAGGGGGGAGCUCUGCUGCUCGCACUAAAAAGCUUUUCCAGAAAUCUUUGGAAUUCUCUUCAGUGAAAUCGCCUGAGACGGCAGAGAAAGCACGUCCUUUGGAGAUUACUAGAAUUUCUGCCAACAAAAGGGGAUCCGAUAUCCAUGUACGGUUCAGCUGGAUGGAGGGGGAGAAGGGAGCGGAGAUAGCGGCAAUUUAUUAUUAUUAUUAUUAUUUAAUCCAUUGUUUGAAUGGUGAAUCACUAAUUUAAAAGUUGCUGCGAUUUUUUUUUUCACUGCAGUUUGCAGGCUGCUGAAAGCUCAACAGCCAUUCAGGCUUCAAAGACAAAAGGGAGAUUUCCCUCUUUAAUCUUCGCCGAUGUUCCCUCACUCAACCCAUCUUGGCUGGAAGCUCUCUGGAGCAGCGCACACAGCGCUCGCCAAUGCGCGGAGUCGUGCGCUCCUGGUGCUAAUAAAGCCAUCGCUCCGGCACGGCAGGUCGGGUGAUUACUGCCUCUGGUAAAUGCUUGUGAGACAAUAAGCAGACAUAGGGAGAAAUGAACUGAUCGAGGUGAGCAAGAGGAUGGGGUGGAUGAGAAACGCGGGGUGGGAGAGCCUCGGCGAUACGUUCACCCAGGGGAACCUCACCCUGCUGGUGGAUUCCCGACCCACGCUCUUAUCUCUCUGCAGAGCCCGCAGUGAAAAGCCAAUGCUGUUCGGGAAGCUUUUUCCUUACAGAUGAGAUAUAAAACCAAUGCCUGCCUAACCACUUAUGUACAUUAAUGAUCCCCCGGUGCUCUCCAAAAGAGGAAAAAUAUUAACCCAGACAUCAUAAUAAUAUGCUGCUUGCUUAUAAGCCCUGUACAAUUUAAAUUCAAUCUGGUGUGAUGUUAUUUCUGACUUCCUGACCCAAAUUGGUGUGCGUGCAGCUCUGAGCUGUUAAGCAGAUGAUUGUUCCAUCCCAGCAGCAGAUCCAUCUCUCCGAUGCCUUGGAAGGAUUUCUCGGCCUGCGUUGCAGAGAGCCUCUGUUGAAAAAUGUGCCGCAUGUCAAACCGUUGGCUGAGCACAGCACAUCAUCCAUGGGGCCAUUUUUACUGUACACACACAUCCUUCGUUUCCUACGAACACACCACUGCCAGAGACUGCAGAUGGAGAAAGGCUCUCAAAUCCCUCUGUUGGUAAAAAGGCGAAAAUGCUCCAGACGGAUUUUCCUCUCCUUUUCCACCUACCCACAGCUCCUUCAGACAGCGUCCUCCCUAUGCAGCAAAUGCAGUCCUGUGAAGGUCAGGGUUGGUGAUAGGCCCGUGUUUUGCUGCUGUGUGCUCAGGUGCAGAAGGUAUGGGAACCCUCCUGGUCCCACCCUGUCUGGGUUUCCCUGGGAGAGCCCUGGUGCCAGGACCUGCACCCCGGAGCUGCUCACACCCUACCUGCUCCGCAAAUGAGCAGAGCCAAAGCAGAUGGCUUUGUGGAGCAUAAAACAAAACAGAGAGAUCUGUGGUGGCUGCAGAAAUACUGCCCUGGCUCUCCCCUGCGUGAUCAGGGGAUGGCAGGGCUCUCCUGCUCUGGGCAGCUGGGUGAGCCCCUAGAAGCUGGAGCUGCUGGAAGAGCUGGCUGCUGACCGACCUCCUGCAUGCCCAAUCCCAGCUCUGCGCUUGCAUUUGUGUUGCAGCAGUGUUUUCCUGGGAGCCAAACAAAACAGUUGUUCAUGAGCCACUCAGAGUAUGUGCUGGGGCAUGAAGGAGGUGUCAGUUUGUCCUCAUUAGUAAUUGCAACAGACUCACUUUGGUGUAGUGUCCUGCUAAAAGGAAUGGUAUGAUGGAUCUUGUCAUCAUUCCUCUGGAAAGUAAAGUAGUCCUCCCCAGUCCGUGGUCCCAAGCAGAGUUUGCUUGCUGAUACAUGAUCAUGGGCAAUGAAAUGAGCUCCAAUCUCCAUUUACGAGCUUUUACAAUCAAUGGUAUGGUUAAAGAUUGCUUGAUAACUAUGCUGGGAAACUUCUGUUUCUUACUCCCCUGUUUUCAGUUGCAGAUAUUUUAUAAUUCAAUGCUGGACUUGUACAUAAUACUUCAGUACCAUUCAUGCAGGUGGCUCCAAUAAAUUUAGAAACUUUUUUUGUGGUAUUUGCAGCUGACUAAUUUUUCCGUGUUGUUUUUCCUUCUCCUUUAUUAUAAAAGUGUAACUCAGUAUCAUUCAUGACAACUAGAAAUGAAGCCAGGCAAAGAUCAGACUUUGGACCUCUCAGACACAAUGAUGUUAAAAUCUCUGAUUUUGAAUUAAGCCAGAGUAUAAUUUAGAUUUUGUAUCCUCUCUCGUGAAAGUCUCUG